GACGAACGCUGGCGGCGUGCUUAACACAUGCAAGUCGAACGGAAAGGCCCUGCUUUUGUGGGGUGCUCGAGUGGCGAACGGGUGAGUAACACGUGAGUAACCUGCCCUUGACUUUGGGAUAACUUCAGGAAACUGGGGCUCAUACCGGAUAGGAGCUCCUGCUGCAUGGUGUGGGUUGGAAAGUUUCGGCGGUUGGGGCUAGACUCGCUGCUUAUCAGCUUGUUUGUGGGGUAGUCGCUUACCAAGGGUUUGACGGGUAGGCUGCCUGGGAGGGUGACCGGCGACAAGGGGCCUGAGGGAGGCAGCAGACUCGUAUGGGAGGCAGUAGGGGAGAAUAUUGCACAAUGGGGGGAAGCCUGAGGCAGAAACGUCGGGUGCGGGAUGACGGCUUUCGGGGUGUAAACCGCUGUCGAAUGUGACGAAGAGGGAGUGACGGUAAUGGGUAAAGAAGCACCGGCUAACUACGUG
rnacentral:rRNA from 1 species